CAAACGAUGGUUUUAUUAGCGCAUAUCGACAGAUACGCUUCACAAGUACAAUUAAUGCCAUAUAAAUCAUUCAUAUCCCUGCCCUGUCAUUUACGAGAAUACAGCAUAAACUCCAUAUCCUUAUCUGAAGCCGAUAACGCAGAGCAGAUAGAGCUCCGAGGCGCGACUGCAAAGAGCCCUGAGCGCUGCCGGCUCUCCCAAGCACGUGUUUGUACAGGGCUUUCACCGCCCAGCCACACGUCACCUGCUGCAGCGGCUGGGCAGGCUCUGCAGCCCGCUGGAGAGCAGGAAUCAAGCCCUGCAUCGCUCUGUGGCUUGCUGGCAAGGUUCCGACACUGCCACGAGAUUUGAUGUUUCUCCUGCAGGGAGCCCACACAGCUCCGCCGCUGAGCCUGGGGUGUCGGCAGCGGGGCACCCACGUACACCUCCAAGCAGAGGCGCUCCAUCUCCACCAGCCACCGCCGCAGCCCGCAGCGAGACAGGGCUGCAGGCAAAAGUUACAGCAAAGCGAUUUGAAAUGCCCCAGCUGUGCCGGAUGCAGAGGGACAGGCUGCGGCGCCACACUCGCCUGGGGCCAUGUGGGAACAGUGUCCCACGCCCAGCACCCAGCGCCCAGCCCCAGGAGGGCAGGCUGGGCUUCCCUCGCCCUCUCAGCAUCGUGCAUUGCCGAUGUUUGCCCUGUCCGGGGAAGGCUGUGCAUUCCUCAGUGCAGCUGCCCUUCUGUUCCUCCUCUGCCUCCCCGCCCUUCAGCUCUCGCCGCGAUGGGCAGUUCUGCCAGCCCCGAGGUACGAGGUCAGCUGGCAGAACGAUGGGGUCUGUGUGUGCCUGACAUCGGCCCCGGGGGAGAUGAGGAGGGAAGGGAAACUGGUUUUUGGGAAGGAGGAGGAGUACUCCAACAGUGCAGCUGGAGCAAGAGGCAGGCUAAGUUUGUACAUUGGUUUGAAGAGACAUACUACUACAACCAGAUCCUUUUGGUCUUCUCUCUGCCCCAACAUCUUUCAGACCACCUGAUAGAUGCCAUCCUGGCUGGUGGGCAGGACAUGCUUGGUCAGUCUUUCACCUGUGUUUCCCCAGCAUCUUCUGAGAAUUCCUUUCUUCUAUAACCUCUAUGUCCUUUAAUUGUGUGAACUUCUGAUCAGCUUCAUCAGACACACAUCUCUAAUAUAUUUUUCUCCCCUUCUGGACGAGAUAGGAAAAAUGGGUUUUCUCUAGGACAAAUCCACCUUCUUGCCCUAAUGAUCUCUAUUUGAAUUUCCCAUCAGCAGAAGUUUCUAUCAUUAACCUGUCUCAGGUGGAGGACACUCUCCCAGCCCUUCCUCAGUUUCUUUCCCAGUAAGGAAGUAAAAAGACCAGAUAAUUCAUCUGAGUUCCAUAUUCAUAGUAGAUUUAUAGAGAGAAUUCCUGGUAUCAAAGUGUUAAGCUCUCCACAGGCAAAAUACCCAGCCAAGAGCACCCAGCAGUGCACAGCCCUCUGAGACUUCAUAGCAUCAGCUAAACUUAGGCUCUGUUCCUUUUUUAUUCAUUUCUAAGACAUGUAUUUAUGCUUUUUGUUGUCAGUUACUGAGAUUGCCAUAUUUUUAAGAGUUCAUAGUUACAUUAAGACCCCUGUUACAUAAAUCAGGUAGACAUACUGAGGCAGUGGUGAAAGGAUGACAGAAAAUUGGGAAGAAAAAUAAAAAAUGUUUAAUGAAAAGUAAUUAGUACUGG
ensembl:lncRNA